rnacentral:lncRNA from 1 species
CUUGUAUCGUCAUUCCAGUUCUGCUCUGGAUCUACAAAAAAUUCCUGGAGCCAUAUAUAUACCCUCUGGUUUCCCCCUUCGUUAGUCGUAUAUGGCCUAAGAAAGCAAUACAAGAAUCCAAUGAUACAAACAAAGGCAAAGUAAACUUUAAGACAUGAAUGGAUUACCAACAAAAGGACCAACAGAAAUCUGUGAUAAAAAGAAAGACUAAAGAAAUUUUCCUAAAGGACCCCAUCAUUUAAAAAAUGGACCUGAUAAUAUGAAGCAUCUUCCUUGUAAUUGUCUCUGACCUUUUUAUCUGAGACCGGAAUUCAGGAUAGGAGUCUAGAUAUUUACCUGAUACUAAUCAGGAAAUAUAUGAUAUCCGUAUUUAAAAUGUAGUUAGUUAUAUUUAAUGACCUCAUUCCUAAGUUCCUUUUUCGUUAAUGUAGCUUUCAUUUCUGUUAUUGCUGUUUGAAUAAUAUGAUUAAAUAGAAGGUUUGUGCCAGUAGACAUUAUGUUACUAAAUCAGCACUUUAAAAUCUUUGGUUCUCUAAUUCAUAUGAAUUUGCUGUUUGCUCUAAUUUCUUUGGGCUCUUCUAAUUUGAGUGGAGUACAAUUUUGUUGUGAAACAGUCCAGUGAAACUGUGCAGGGAAAUGAAGGUAGAAUUUUGGGAGGUAAUAAUGAUGUGAAACAUAAAGAUUUAAUAAUUACUGUCCAACACAGUGGAGCAGCUUGUCCACAAAUAUAGUAAUUACUAUUUAUUGCUCUAAGGAAGAUUAAAAAAAGAUAGGGAAAAGGGGGAAACUUCUUUGAAAAAUGAAACAUCUGUUACAUUAAUGUCUAAUUAUAAAAUUUUAAUCCUUACUGCAUUUCUUCUGUUCCUACAAAUGUAUUAAA